GAUGAACGCUGGCGGCGUGCUUAACACAUGCAAGUCGAACGGUGAAGGCGGAGCUUGCUCUGCUGGAUCAGUGGCGCACGGGUGAGUAACACGUGAGCAAUCUGCCCCUGACUCUGGGAUAAGCGCUGGAAACGGCGUCUAAUACUGGAUACGAGCUGCGAAGGCAUCUUCAGCAGCUGGAAAGAACUUCGGUCAGGGAUGAGCUCGCGGCCUAUCAGCUUGUUGGUGAGGUAACGGCUCACCAAGGCGUCGACGGGUAGCCGGCCUGAGAGGGUGACCGGCCACACUGGGACUGAGAGACGGACCAGAAGCCUACGGGAGGCAGCAGUGGGGAAUAUGGCACAAUGGGCGAAAGCCUGAGGCAGCAACGCCGCGUGAGGGACGACGGCUUUCGGGUUGUAAACCUCUUUUAGCAGGGAAGAAGCGAAAGUGACGGUACCUGCAGAAAAAGCGCCGGCUAACUACGUG
rnacentral:rRNA from 1 species